GCCGUGGUGGCGAAAUUGGUAGACGCGCUACGUUCAGGUCGUAGUGAGGGUAACCUCAUGGAAGUUCAAGUCUUCUCCACGGCACAA
rnacentral:tRNA from 1 species